AGAAUAUUUGGGAAAUUCAUUCGAACAUCGACCAAUUUUAGUUAAGUAUUAAAGAAGUAGAUUUUAAAGUUUCUUAAUUUAAUAGUGGUUGAUUAGUCAUUUUGUUACAUAUUACAGGUGGUGACGAAGAAAUUGGCAAAGCUUACCGACCGACCUAGUCUGUAGCUCGUAUUGAAUAGAAGCUACGUUGAGCCAUAUCAGAGCCUGUCGUUCGACGAGUUGAGCUUCAUCGUGUCAUUGUUUGUAUGUCUCAUUUUGUUAAUUCAUACCACAUAUAUUUUGGGGAGUAAUGUAUUUUGUGUCAAAAUGUAUUAAGUCUCAUACCCAUUGCAUAUUUUGUGUAUGUUUUGAAAUGAAGUGGUUUGGUGGUAAAAAAAAAGGGAAAUUUUCUUUUUCAGUACAACUACUUGAAGAAUUGGUAUUUUGAUGGGCCGGUGUACCCUAUUUUAAAGUAUGUGUAUAUGUUUGGGAUUUUUGGUUUUA